CCAAAGGCUCUUUUUAGAGCCACCCACUUUUUUCUAAGAAGAGCUGU
rfam:Gavia stellata contig34237, whole genome shotgun sequence.